rnacentral:rRNA from 1 species
CCUACGGGUGGCUGCAGUGGGGAAUAUUGCGCAAUGGGCGAAAGCCUGACGCAGCGACGCCGCGUGAGGGAUGAAGGUCUUCGGAUCGUAAACCUCUGUCAGCAGGGAAGAACGGUCACUGUGCUAAUCAGCAGUGAAUUGACGGUACCAGUAAAGGAAGCACCGGCUAACUCCGUGCCAGCAGCCGCGGUAAUACGGAGGGUGCGAGCGUGUAUCGGAAUUAUUGGGCGUAAAGCGCUCGUAGGUGGUAUGUCAAGUCAAGUGUGAAAUCCCGGGGCUCAACGUGGGAACUGCAUUUGAAACUGGCAAACUUGAGUAUGUGAGAGGAUAGUGGAAUUCGAGGUGUAGGAGUGAAAUCCGUAGAUAUCUGGAGGAACAUCGGUGGCGAAGGCGACUAUCUGGCAUAUAACUGACGCUGAGGAGCGAAAGCGUGGGUAGCAAACAGGAUUAGAUACCCCGGUAGUC